GGGACGUUAGCUCAGUUGGCUAGAGCGCUUCGUUGACAUCGAAGAGGUCAGGGGUUCAAGUCCCUUACGUCCCA
rnacentral:tRNA from 1 species